UGGGGAAUAUUGGACAAUGGGGGCAACCCUGAUCCAGCCAUGCCGCGUGAGUGACGAAGGCCUUAGGGUUGUAAAACUCUUUCGUCGGGGACGAUAAUGACGGUACCCGAAGAAGAAGCUCCGGCUAACUUCGUGCCAGCAGCCGCGGUAAUACGAAGGGAGCUAGCGUUGUUCGGAAUCACUGGGCGUAAAGCGCACGUAGGCGGAUAGUUAAGUCAGGGGUGAAAUCCUGGGGCUCAACCCCAGAACUGCCUUUGAUACUGGCUGUCUCGAGGUCGAGAGAGGUUGGUGGAAUUCCUAGUGUAGAGGUGAAAUUCGUAGAUAUUAGGAAGAACACCAGUGGCGAAGGCGGCCAACUGGCUCGAUACUGACGCUGAGGUGCGAAAGCGUGGGGAGCAAACAGGAUUAGAUACCCAAGUAGUCCCUGAGCGGGCUGGCAAGGCGCAU
rnacentral:rRNA from 1 species